GACGGGGGGUGCGAGCGUUACCCGGAAUCACUGGGCGUAAAGGGUGUGUAGGCGGUGAUGCAAGUCCCAUGCGAAAGACUGUGGCUCAACCUCAGGGAAGCCUUGGAUACUGUGAGGCUAGAGGGUCGGAGAGGUUGGAGGAAUUUCCGGAGUAGCGGUGAAAUGCGUAGAUACCGGAAGGAACGCCGGAGGCGAAAGCGGCCAACUGGACCAUAUGUGACACUGAGGCGCGAAAGCUAGGGGAGCAAACCGG
rnacentral:rRNA from 1 species